GAUGAAGAACGUAGUGAAAUGCGAUAAGUAAUGUGAAUUGCAGAAUUCAGUGAAUCAUCGAAUCUUUGAACGCACAUUGCGCCCCCUGGUAUUCCGGGGGGCAUGCCUGUUCGAGCGUCAUUUCACCACUCAAGCCUCGCUUGGUAUUGGGCAUCGCGGUCCGCCGCGCGCCUCAAAUCGACCGGCUGGGUCUUCUGUCCCCUAAGCGUUGUGGAAACUAUUCGCUAAAGGGUGUUCGGGAGGCUACGCCGUAAAACAACCCCAUUUCUAAGGUUGACCUCGGAUCAGGUAGGGAUACCCGCUGAACUUAAGCAUAUCAAUAAGCGGAGGA
rnacentral:misc_RNA from 1 species